CGGGCUAAAGGGGCGGGGGAAGGGUUAGGGCGCCCGGUAGCGAGCAGGCAGACUAGAACCAGCUGAACGACGUAACACUGUACCAUGCUUCGCAAUGCCCUAGGAAAAACCUUUCGAUUUGUUGGGUAUACUGUGCAAUAUGGCUGCAUAGCGCAUUGUGCCUUUGAGUACCUUGGAGGAAUUGUUGUGUGUUCUGGACCUUCAAUGGAACCAACCAUUCAAAAUUCUGAUAUUGUCUUUUCGGAGAACCUUAGCCGCCACUUUUAUUGCAUUCGAAAAGGAGAUAUUGUAAUUGUGAAAAGCCCAAAUGACCCCAAAUCAAAUAUCUGUAAAAGAGUAAUUGGCUUGGAAGGGGAUAAAGUCUGCACAAGCAACCCUUCAGAUUUCCUUAAGAGUCACAGCUAUGUGCCUAAAGGACAUGUUUGGUUAGAAGGUGAUAAUCUCAGGAAUUCUACAGAUUCCAGGUGCUAUGGACCUGUUCCUUACGGACUGAUAAGAGGACGCAUUUGUUUUAAGAAUCUUGAGAUGGCUUUUUGAAGGACUCAUCUGGAUGCAAAAGAAUCUCAGGAAAUACAGAUAACCUUUAAAAUACUGUAGAUUCAGUGAAUCAAUAGCCCUUCCAAAUAUGUAAAGUCAUGGGUCACUGGCUACAAAAUGGUGUCAUUUUAGUUAAGAAAUGGUUAUUCGAGGACAUGGCUGCUAGAAAUCCCACGUUAAAAAGGCAAUAAUAAUUAAAAUGGUAACACGUUUUCUUUACCAUUUGUACUACAGGUUCUGAACAGAGCAUUCCAACUUCUUUUUGGUGCAAAUGUCUACUGAAAAGGAACUCUCAAAGCUCCAUCUUCCUGUAGCUUUAAUUCAUCUCCAGUAAUAUCUCUUUUUGAUAUUUUAAAUUGCUCAGUGUAAGUGAUGGACCAACAGGACAGUUGCAAUAUCAUCAGACCUAUCAGCUGUUAACUGUGUUAUAAAUCAAGAUAUCCCUUAUUCUGGAGCAUUAACUUCUGCCCUUUAUACUAACAUCAGUUGGGGCACUGAAAUGUACAGCAGAUUUUAAGACUUAGAACACCUGUUCUACAAGUAUUUGAGCAGAUUUCUGAUUAACUGAAUCCCUUUGUUUUAGUUUAUAAUUAAUUUUGGAAUGGAAUGAAAAGAAUAAUAAUAUCACGUGUGCUUUAUAAAAUCCAAAAUUUAAAAGGACCACUUCUACUGGAGUCUGUUUGCUCCCUGAUGUAUGUAUCUGUCGUUGGCGCUGAUGGGUAUUACCUGGAUAAAUCCCCUGUAUGACAAGAGAAUGUACUUAAGAGGAAAAUACUAAGCUUUGACCUUAAGUUUUUUCACAAGUAUUUUUCCAUAUACAGAGGAAUGUACCUGCAGCCCCAAGUAUGAAGUCUGUACACAAAUGUUCCAUCGUAUGAGUAAGCACAUGAAGUCACCUCUGCAUUCAGACUGAGGACUAGCUUGCAACUUGCUGAAGUUAUGGCUGAAGCGCAGUUGCGACCCGUAAAAGUUUAUCUCUUAGCGAUCCCUUCAUCUCCACAACUGAAGAUGACAAAAUUCUAAGGUGCAAACAAAUAAAAAAUUUUUGGUUGUUGCAUUUAGUCAUUGUAUUCUAAAUAGCUAAUUAGAUAAUGAGUAAUUAUACCUUUAUUUGGUAGGCACUAAAUUCGGUGUUCUGUCAGCAUGCGUCAUGUUGUACUGUAAAAGCUAUUUAAAUGUAUUAUUUGUUUUCAAGUCCAUUUUUCUGAAACCUUAGCUUUUCCAGCUGUAUUUUAAUUUUAAUAGCUUUUUUAACAUUGGUGGUUGAUUGUAUACCACAUUUGUGAAAGGUCAUUUUAAGAAAAAUCAAUGCUUAAUAAGCAUACAAGGCAAAAUAGUCAGAUCACAUUAAAGACUUAUAUGGUUUCCUUUUA